rnacentral:rRNA from 1 species
CCUACGGGCGGCAGCAGUGGGGGAUAUUGCACAAUGGGGGCAACCCUGAUGCAGCGACGCCGCGUGUGGGAAGACGGUCUUCUGGAUUGUAAACCACUGUCCCCAGGGACGAAAAUGACGGUACCUGGGGAGGAAGCUCCGGCUAACUACGUGCCAGCAGCCGCGGUAAUACGGAGGGAGCAAGCGUUGUCCGGAAUUACUGGGUGUAAAGGGAGCGUAGGCGGGGAUGCAAGUUGGGUGUUAAAACUACCGGCUCAACCGAUAGUCGCACUCAAAACUGCAACUCUUGAGUGAAGUAGAGGCAGGCGGAAUUCGUGGUGUAGCGGUGAAAUGCGUAGAUAUUAGGAGGAACACCAGUGGCGAAGGCGGCCUGCUGGGCUUUUACUGACGCUGAGGCUCGAAAGUGUGGGGAGCAAACAGGAUUAGAUACCCCUGUAGUC